ACAAUUACACGGUGAGAAAUGCAAAUAGCAACAUACAAGAAAGUAAUCCUUUUUGUGUUUUGCAAUUUAGUAGUAAUAUUACAGAUGCCUGACAUGACAUGAAACAAACAAAUGAUCCACAAUGAAUCUCAAUGAUAUUUUUCUAUUAAAGCAGUGAACCAAAAUCAGUCUGCAAACUUCUAUCAUUGUCAAAACUUUUGGGUUUGUGUUUCUAUCCUCCCAACCAAAUAUGAUUAAAUGUGCUCAUUCUAUCUCCUUAUCUCUUUUCUAAUCUAACUCCAGUUUAUUUUACUCAGGAGCUGUUCUAGAAGAAAUAUCUUUGCGUGUGACUAACGCUUGGGAAAAAGAAUAUCACCGCAAGGAAUCGAAACUCUUCUCCCUCAAAAGAUUUGGAUAUUCCAAACUGGGAUAAUGCUUCUUGUUCAUUCUCUUUUGUUCAAUACAACUCUGGUCCCAAAACUCACUUUGAUCUCCUUUCAAUCUGAUUACAAAAGCUAAAGGUUCCAACAAGGCAAAUGCAGCAGCCGGGUAAUCAGAAUUUCCGACCCAGCCAAUCUUGUGUUCUCACCGAUAUAUGAGCUAUGACAAUCACGGGGAUAGUAAAGUUAGCCGAAUGUAAUAGCAUACCAGAACGUUAAGGAUCAUAUUGUUCAGAAUCUUCAUGUAUCUUUUACUUCCCAUU